rnacentral:rRNA from 1 species
CAGUAGCCGCGGGAAUACGUAGGGUGCGAGCGUUGUCCGGAAUUAUUGGGCGUAAAGAGCUUGUAGGUGGUUUGUCGCGUCUGCUGUGAAAAUCCGAGGCUCAACCUCGGACUUGCAGUGGGUACGGGCAGACUAGAGUGUGGUAGGGGAGACUGGAAUUCCUGGUGUAGCGGUGGAAUGCGCAGAUAUCAGGAGGGACACCGAUGGCGAAGGCAGGUCUCUGGGCCAUUACUGACACUGAGAAGCGAAAGCAUGGGGAGCGAACAGGAUUAGAUACCCCAGUAGUCCCUGUCUCUUAUAU